UACGAAGGGGGCUAGCGUUGCUCGGAAUGACUGGGCGUAAAGGCGCGUAGGCGGUUUGUACAGUCAGGUGUGAAAUUCCCGGGCUCAACCUGGGGGCUGCACUUGAUACGUAUGGACUGGAGUGGGGAAGAGGGUCGUGGAAUUCCCAGUGUAGAGGUGAAAUUCGUAGAUAUUGGGAAGAACGACCGGUGGCGAAGGCGGCGACCUGGUCCUUGACUGACGCUGAGCGCGAAAGCGUUGGGGAGC
rnacentral:rRNA from 1 species